rnacentral:tRNA from 2 species
UAUAUUUUAGUAUUUAAUGUAUUAAAAAUUUUGAAUUUUUAGGAGAUAGGGAUUCUAUCAAGUAUAA